GACGAACGCUGGCGGCGUGCUUAACACAUGCAAGUCGAACGGUAAGGCCCUUCGGGUACGACGAGUGGCGAACGGGUGAGUAACACGUGGGUGAUCUGCCUGCACUUCGGGAUAAGCCUGGGAAACUGGGUCUAAUACCGGAUAGGACCAUGGACUUCACGGUUUGUGGUGGAAAGCUUUUGCGGUGUGGGAUGGGCCCGCGGCCUAUCAGCUUGUUGGUGGGGUAAUGGCCCUACCAAGGCGACGACGGGGUAGCCGGCCUGAGAGGGUGUCCGGCCACACUGGGGACUGAGAUACGGCCCAGACUCCUACGGGAGGCAGCAGUGGGGAAUAUUGCACAAUGGGCGCAAGCCUGAUGCAGCGACGCCGCGUGAGGGAUGACGGCCUUCGGA
rnacentral:rRNA from 1 species